GAAAUUAAUUAUCAUCUCCAAGAACAUACUGAGUAGUCCUAGUACAAUGUGGGGAGGUUUGAGAAAGGAAUUAAGGGGAAAAAGGGAGGGGCAAGGGAGCUAUAGUCAUUAAAGAACUGACUGCUUUCUGUUCCCCUUCAAAAAUGUCCCCUUCAAAACUUCUCAAUGAUUUCCUUCUGUCCAUGUUUCUGUUUUCUUCCAGAGUAUUUGCGGAGUAUGGAGAAAGGCAGUGGAAAGUCAUGAGGAGGGCAUUUGCAUCAAAGUAUUGCCUCAGCCAAGGAGACCCCAAACAUUCUAGUUGUUCUAAGGGUCUCCAGGAAGAAUUGCAGAUGCUUUCAUCCCACAAAGCAUGUUGCCUGGACAAGUGUUCAGGAAUUUUUUGCCUGCUGGCCAUGACAACGCAUGUAACUGAAAGUACCACAGAGAUUACUCCUGCCCUAAUGAGUAUCAUACAGAAUUGUAUUGAAUGUUGAACUUCAAAUAAGCAUGUGCCUACAGGUCACAUCUGUGCUUCUUCAUGAAGAGACACAUUCUGACCCAGCUUCCAUGGCUGCUGUGGGGUAGAAGGAGGGUGCCUUUUCCCUAUGCACAGCCCACCUGAAGCCUGCCAAAAAUAACAGACCUCUCCAUAUCCAGGAGUAAUCCUUUAAAAGAAAGUCAUUUCUGCUACACUUCUCUCCUGUGUAAUGAUGCAAGCUGAUCCCAUCCAGUGUCAGAAGAGACUGCUGCUUUCCAGAACUUCUCCGGAUCUCUGAAAAGCUUGAUGCCAUAUGUUGCUGCCAUGCUCCAGCUACAGGAAGGUAGACCCAUGGUUAGAUUCAAUACUUUGGUUUCUCUCCAAAUCGUAUAAAUCUUUCUAUGAUUCAAUGUGCACAAAUACUCAGAAAUUACAUUAGGAGUGCAGUAUGACAUCUGUGUAAAAGGAAAUAUAGCUGUACAAAGCAUGGAUGAUGGGAUUAUAAUGGUUUAGAAUUGCUUAAAAUACUUUGUAAAAUCUGUCAUACUGAAGAAAUAAUUGUUUAGUUGUAGGAAUUCAUUUUUUCCUCUCCUUUUUGGACUCCAUAUGACAAAUGUUCCUAUUGUAGCCAACUCACAUGGGUGAAAAGGUUGGAUGCACUACAGUGACAUACUUCUGAUAACUAUCUGCAGUGUCUUCCAUAAAUUGGAGUGUACAUGAUGGUGAGAACUACUAAAGGAGUUAAUG
rnacentral:lncRNA from 1 species